ACAAAUGAGUAACUCCUUGACCAGAGCUAAGAGCUAGUAUCAAUUUCAGGCACCUUGACCAGAUAUGCGCAAUACCAAUAUAACUGAAAAUGAAGCAGAAAGAGACACCUAAUUUUCAGAGGUGACAUUACCUUGUUCUGCAAACUAUAAUGGUCAGUCUAGUUUGAGAAGUGUUCAAGAUUGUUCUACAAACUCAUGCCAGCCUUCCUACUCCACAGAACUAUUAGGAAGUUUUUGGGAUCACCACAUGAAUAGUUCUCCAUGUUAAUAUGUUAUUCUCUAGGCUCAACCAAGCAUUAACUGAAAUAACAGCUGCAGAGACAAAAACAACUUAUAAUGAGCUCCUAGUUAAAAAAAAUUGUCUCAAGUAUCUUAGCAUGAUCCAAAAUGUCUGAAUAAAAAAAAUCUCAAACUGGGAACAAGAAAAGGAUAACCUACAGCUAGAUAAUCGAUUGAAUAGAUAAACUACGUAGUACCAGAACUACCAUAGAAAGGGUAAAAAGAAAUGUAUAAAUCCUAAUCAACUAAUUCACACUGUGGGCAUGCUAUGAGUGGAGGUGCAUGUACGGUAACUUCCAGGACAAAUGAGCACACAGGAAACAUAAUGAAAUUCAGAGACAUGUAAAUCAUCGAACAGAACCUUGACUUCCAGUCAAUCAACAGAAAAUUCAUAUAUGUACUAUAGUUAGUUGCAACCGGUCAAUAAUUAGCAAGUACAGCCACUUGUGCCCCUACAAUAAUUAGCGCCACCACCACUUGAACAGUAAAAUCACCUAGUGGAACCAGAAUUUUUCAAAAGCCUGACACUUUUAACCAGAAUUAAACCAAGUAUCAGUAUAUGACUACCACGAGCGACGCCGCCGUGAACACCACAACACAAGAGCAGCAUGAGGAGUCUAUUACACAUCAUCAUCGACCCAAACUUCGAAUGAUGAUUUGCCUGAUCGACCUGCUCUGUUGCAUGCAAUGUAAGCCUCCUAUAUCCUAGCACGGCAUGUGAUAUAUGAAUUAAUAUGGUAAGUGGAUAACAGGGUAAGUACAUAACCUAGAGCGGAAACCUGGUUCGCUUUAAUUUAAAAUUGGUGGUUUCUUACAUGCAAGCCCAUUCUGUAGCUCUAUAACUACAUCAAUUGAGAAAAAUCUUACACUGGGUCCGGUAGGCAUAGAAGCCUACUCGUGCUUACCAUCAUUUAGAUUAGAAAGAUGGGGAGGUUGUGCAAUUUCCUGAUGUACUAAUCAUCUAAUACAAAUAACCAAUGCAUCAAAAACCUCUUUUACGUGGACCAUAUAGAACAAAAAGAGAUGAGAUAGUGACAGUACAGAAUAAAUUGCCGGCAGUGGAGAUCAGUGGCAUGCUUGGAAUCCUUAGGUUGCAGGAGUAAGC
rnacentral:lncRNA from 1 species